rnacentral:lncRNA from 1 species
CAUGAAUUAUUUCAUAUUCACAAGUCGGAUCUCACACCCAAGAAAUAUUAUGAAACCCACACUUUAUGUAAUUAUAAAAUAAUUUAUUCGAUAUUUAUGAAUUAUACGUAUAAUUAUUCAAAUUACUAACAUGCCCCAUGCAAGUUGAGGACAACAGCGCCAGCCACACCAGCACACCUACAGCUCCCACUAUCGAAACCACGGCAAGUCCCCGGCAAUACCUAGCGAUUUUCGGAUAUCUCUCCCGAGAGAUAUUGUCAUCACGCGCCGGUGAAAGCGAAGUUGAGAGCCAAGAGAAAACCAUGAAACAGCGAGGGCUUAUCCGUAAAUACGACGUUGGUACUGAAUUGCCAUCUAUGUCCUUUUUGGGAAGUUGUAGAAUUACAAAAACAGCAACAAACGCUAUUCCAAAAAUCAGCUCUUCUAAAGGAACUAUCUUCAUAGUUUUUUUUUUGUUUUUUUGUUGCCUCAGAGAAAACUUGAUGGUCUGUUC